GCUGGGUGCAGGGGCACACACCUGUAAUCCCAGCACCUGGGAAGGCUGAGGCAGGAGGAUCACGAGUUCCUCAGCAAAAGAGAGGCCCUAAGCAACUCAGGGAGACCCUGUCUCUA
rnacentral:sRNA from 1 species